UUCACCAGCCAUAUCACCCUGCAUAUGGUUGCUUACUGUAGCUAAGCAGAGUUGAGCCUGGUCAGUACCUGGAUGAGAGACCACAUGGGAAAACUAGGUUGCUGUUAGAA
rnacentral:rRNA from 1 species